UCUCUCUUUAUAUGCUUUAUUGCAAUCCAUUUUGGACUAUCAGAGAAAUAUAACUAUGUUUUGAUAUUAUUGCAUCUUCCUUUUCUGCUCUUUAGUUUCUGUAUCCCAUCACAAACACAUGAACGUCACUGUAUUACAUUUGGCACCAGCCCAAUUAUUUUUUCCUCUGUUUUUUUUUUUUUUUUCUUUUGGCCAAAUUUUCUACCAACAAAACAACACGCGCCGGGCGUAUCGUACGCCCAGACGCACCCAACAAAACAUCCCUAAUUCAUUUUCCCUCUUUUUCCCAAACAUCACCUCUCUCUCGCCCAAGCUUUGCAGCUCCUCGAACUGGAACCUACCGCCGACACCGACGAGCUCCUCCGCCGACUUUGAAGAGGUCCGCUUACCGGAACCUACCACUGAGACCGACAAGCUCCUCUUUUCCGUCGAACAGCUCCUCCUUUACCAAAUAAACCGUAACAACAGCUCUCUCACCCCAGACACAAUAAACCCCGAUCAAUUAUAUAAGUUUGUAACUUUGUAAGAUUCAUGAUUAUAUGUCUUGUAUCAGUUCAAAAUUGUUGGGUUAUUCACUCCGGUCACUCCACCGAAAGAGAUUGGGAGGUGGAUUGAGGAGGAUGCUUCCGUUCUUGUUCCUGCUGAUAUAAAUCAUAUAAUCAACAUUAAGUUUGGGGAUAUUAUUCCAGCACAUGCUCGUCUCCUCAAUGGUGAUCCACUGAAAUUGAUCAGUCUACACUUGUCGGUGAGUCACUUCCUGUGACCAAAGGCCCUGGUGACAUUGUGUAUUUGGGUUCUACAUGAAAACAAGGAGAGAUUGAAGCUGUGGUGAUUGCCACUAGUGUUCAUACCUAUUUUGGCAAGGCUGCUCAUCUUGUCGAUAACACAAAUCAACAGGGCCACUUUCAAAAGGUCCAGAGUUGCAACAAAUAAUUAGUGAUAGCCGUUCUGAAGUUCAUUCCGGUUAAUCAGACUUUUGGGUCAUGGUGGCGGCAUUGAAGAUUUGUGAAACCAAGAUUGAAUUUGCGACAACUGGAUAUAGUGUGCAUAAAUUAGAUCUGUUUAUCUUGGAAUUCCUAGCAAAUGAAGGUGGUGGUGAGGCACCCCUCAAGGGAUCAAUACCAGAUAUAACAUCUUCAACUGAGUUAGUCGACAUCCCCAGAAUUUCAUGUUUCUCUUUUGUGCUUUAUCUACUUUCUUGCAGGCACUAUGUAGCUUUACAGAAAACCUACCAAGCCAAGGCUGAGGCUGAUUUUCUAGUAUUGACCAAAGGGUUAGGACUCUUCUAAAGAGAAUUAGUAGAGAUCCUAGUAGCAACUCAAAGGCAACUGUUAUAAGUUUCUGCAAGAAUGCUAGAAAACUCAAAGCAAGUGUGUGGAGUUUUAUAGUGUCAUUUACUUGUAUUCGAUCUGUUUGAUUGUUGGUUUGAUCUUAUUUGAGCUCCUGAAUUUGUUUCUUUCGUUCAAAUUUUGAAGAAUGUAAAGAGUUAAUUGGGACGGGGCUUGGCAAUUGGAUCCAUAUAGAUUCCAAACUACUUGUAUUUUCCCUUCAUCUUCUGUUUUGAAAUUGGUCUUUGUUGUUUGGUUUUUAAAAUGUUGGACGGCCAUUUUGAUUGAGUUCUUGUUGUUAGAUAGUUUCUUUUGAUUCCUCGUGCAGUCCGCAUCUGUUUCGUUACUUUUUCUAGAGCUAUGAAUUAAGUAUAUGUGAUUUUGUUUUCUACUAAUUAUGUAGGCAUUAUGCUAUUUGAAUUUGAGUUUCUGGAAUUAUAUAUGAGAAUAGGGUGAAGUUUUUGAAGAGUUUCAAAGAGGCUAUGGGCUGUAGAGCUAGAGUGGAAUAUAGGGCAGCCCAUAGCCUCUUUGAAUCUGAUUGUUUGGAAGCUUAAGUAGAUCAGUUAGGGAUUUGAGUAUUUCUUUGAUUUCUGAUUCUUUGGAGGUUGGAGAGGAUACAUAUAUUGUGUCGGGAUUUGCAGUUUCUGAUUCUUUGAUUUCUUCGAUUUUUGAUUCUUUGGUGCUGUUUGAAUUUGGGUUUCUGGAUGCAGGUUUGAGAUGGUUUUGAUUUGUAGUGACUUUAGUCGAGAUUUGCAGCAUUUGCUGCUGUCUUCUUUGCUGUUGGUGUGUUUUGUCUUUGUCUUUUUUUUCUUGUUUUGGGUACAAAG